GGUCAAGUGAAGAAGCGCAUACGGUGGAUGCCUUGGCAGUCAGAGGCGAUGAAAGACGUGGUAGCCUGCGAAAAGCUUCGGGGAGUCGGCAAACAGACUUUGAUCCGGAGAUCUCUGAAUGGGGGAACCCACCUAGGAUAACCUAGGUAUCUUGUACUGAAUCCAUAGGUGCAAGAGGCGAACCAGGGGAACUGAAACAUCUAAGUACCCUGAGGAAAAGAAAUCAACCGAGAUUCCCUUAGUAGUGGCGAGCGAACGGGGAUUAGCCCUUAAGCUUCAUUGAUUUUAGCGGAACGCUCUGGAAAGUGCGGCCAUAGUGGGUGAUAGCCCCGUACGCGAAAGGAUCUUUGAAGUGAAAUCGAGUAGGACGGAGCACGAGAAACUUUGUCUGAACAUGGGGGGACCAUCCUCCAAGGCUAAAUACUACUGACUGACCGAUAGUGAACCAGUACCGUGAGGGAAAGGCGAAAAGAACCCCGGAGAGGGGAGUGAAAUAGAACCUGAAACCGUAUGCGUACAAGCAGUGGGAGCCUACUUGUUAGGUGACUGCGUACCUUUGUAUAAUGGGUCAGCGACUUAUAUUCAGUGGCAAGCUUAACCGUAUAGGGUAGGCGUAGCGAAAGCGAGUCUUAAUAGGGCGUUUAGUCGCUGGGUAUAGACCCGAAACCGGGCGAUCUAUCCAUGAGCAGGUUGAAGGUUAGGUAACACUGACUGGAGGACCGAACCCACUCCCGUUGAAAAGGUAGGGGAUGACUUGUGGAUCGGAGUGAAAGGCUAAUCAAGCUCGGAGAUAGCUGGUUCUCCUCGAAAGCUAUUUAGGUAGCGCCUCAUGUAUCACUCUGGGGGGUAGAGCACUGUUUCGGCUAGGGGUCAUCCCGACUUACCAAACCGAUGCAAACCCGAAUACCCAGAAGUGCCGAGCAUGGGAGACACACGGCGGGUGCUAACGUCCGUCGUGAAAAGGAAACAACCCAGACCGCCAGCUAAGGUCCCAAAGUUGUGGUUAAGUGGUAAACGAUGUGGGAAGGCUUAGACAGCUAGGAGGUUGGCUUAGAAGCAGCCAUCCUUUAAAGAAAGCGUAAUAGCUCACUAGUCGAGUCGGCCUGCGCGGAAGAUGUAACGGGGCUCAAACCACACACCGAAGCUGCGGGUGUCACGUAAGUGACGCGGUAGAGGAGCGUUCUGUAAGCCUGUGAAGGUGAGUUGAGAAGCUUGCUGGAGGUAUCAGAAGUGCGAAUGCUGACAUGAGUAACGACAAUGGUGUGAAAACACCCACGCCGAAAGACCAAGGGUUCCUGCGCAACGUUAAUCGACGCAGGGUUAGUCGGUUCCUAAGGCGAGGCUGAAAAGCGUAGUCGAUGGGAAACAGGUUAAUAUUCCUGUACUUCUGGUUACUGCGAUGGAGGGACGGAGAAGGCUAGGCCAGCUUGGCGUUGGUUGUCCAAGUUUAAGGUGGUAGGCUGAAAUCUUAGGUAAAUCCGGGGUUUCAAGGCCGAGAGCUGAUGACGAGUCGUCUUUUAGAUGACGAAGUGGUUGAUGCCAUGCUUCCAAGAAAAGCUUCUAAGCUUCAGGUAACCAGGAACCGUACCCCAAACCGACACAGGUGGUCGGGUAGAGAAUACCAAGGCGCUUGAGAGAACUCGGGUGAAGGAACUAGGCAAAAUGGCACCGUAACUUCGGGAGAAGGUGCGCCGGCUAGGUGAAGGAUUUACUCCGUAAGCUCUGGCUGGUCGAAGAUACCAGGCCGCUGCGACUGUUUAUUAAAACACAGCACUCUGCAAACACGAAAGUGGACGUAUAGGGUGUGACGCCUGCCCGGUGCCGGAAGGUUAAUUGAUGGGGUUAGCGCAAGCGAAGCUCUUGAUCGAAGCCCCGGUAAACGGCGGCCGUAACUAUAACGGUCCUAAGGUAGCGAAAUUCCUUGUCGGGUAAGUUCCGACCUGCACGAAUGGCGUAACGAUGGCGGCGCUGUCUCCACCCGAGACUCAGUGAAAUUGAAAUCGCUGUGAAGAUGCAGUGUAUCCGCGGCUAGACGGAAAGACCCCGUGAACCUUUACUGUAGCUUUGCACUGGACUUUGAGCCUGCUUGUGUAGGAUAGGUGGGAGGCUUUGAAGCGUGGACGCCAGUUCGCGUGGAGCCAUCCUUGAAAUACCACCCUGGCAUGCUUGAGGUUCUAACUCUGGUCCGUAAUCCGGAUCGAGGACAGUGUAUGGUGGGCAGUUUGACUGGGGCGGUCUCCUCCUAAAGAGUAACGGAGGAGUACGAAGGUGCGCUCAGACCGGUCGGAAAUCGGUCGCAGAGUAUAAAGGCAAAAGCGCGCUUGACUGCGAGACAGACACGUCGAGCAGGUACGAAAGUAGGUCUUAGUGAUCCGGUGGUUCUGUAUGGAAGGGCCAUCGCUCAACGGAUAAAAGGUACUCCGGGGAUAACAGGCUGAUACCGCCCAAGAGUUCAUAUCGACGGCGGUGUUUGGCACCUCGAUGUCGGCUCAUCACAUCCUGGGGCUGAAGCCGGUCCCAAGGGUAUGGCUGUUCGCCAUUUAAAGUGGUACGCGAGCUGGGUUUAGAACGUCGUGAGACAGUUCGGUCCCUAUCUGCCGUGGACGUUUGAGAUUUGAGAGGGGCUGCUCCUAGUACGAGAGGACCGGAGUGGACGAACCUCUGGUGUUCCGGUUGUCACGCCAGUGGCAUUGCCGGGUAGCUAUGUUCGGAAAAGAUAACCGCUGAAAGCAUCUAAGCGGGAAACUUGCCUCAAGAUGAGAUCUCACUGGGAACUUGAUUCCCCUGAAGGGCCGUCGAAGACUACGACGUUGAUAGGCUGGGUGUGUAAGCGUUGUGAGGCGUUGAGCUAACCAGUACUAAUUGCCCGUGAGGCUUGACCAU
rnacentral:rRNA from 1 species